rnacentral:lncRNA from 1 species
GUCACCAUCGAUGAUUUUUGCCCGGCAAUUCCGAGCUCUUGCCGCGCAGCACUCUCCCGCAGCUCCAUUGCCCGCCCUUAGCACAAGGUACUCCUUUUACAGGAAAAGCUCUUUUUUUCUUCUUCUAAUGCUAGUUCUUGGGAUGUUCUUACCAGCUUCGAUGAUCCCUCGUCGUCGCCAUGCCGGCAAUUCCAAGCUUUCCGCGCAGCACUCUCCAAGCUCCAAUCUUAAGGUCACUCUUUACAACAAAAACUCUUUUUUCUUCCUUCUAAUGCUCUAGUUCUUGGGGAUGUUCUUGCCAACUAUCUUGGCGGGCGUGAUUCUCAACAGGUUGCCACGCUUGCCAGGAACAGCGCCCUUGACGAGCACUGCCCGCAGCUCCGGGUCGAUUUUGAUGAUCUCGAGCUUGCGGAUCUUUG